CUUUCUUCUUCCUAGUACACAAAGGGCAGCCGUCCCGAACUGCAGCUCCCCUUCGCAAGGUGUUAUCUUCUUCCCUAAAGGCCACAGCGAUGCAGGCCGGUUGGCACUCCCUCCUUCGGCGCGGCGGCAACCUCCUGAGGCAUAGUGCCAGGCUGGUGCCGCCCUCAGCGCGCGCCGGGACGACCACCGCGAGAGCCAGGCCAAGGGCGCUCUCCACCGUUCCUGCUCUGCGAAGUGUCUCGACGGCUGCGACCCCCGACCUGACUCGACCUCAGCCAGGCCUUGUGAAGGCGAGCCAAGGUCACGACACGCUC